GGGUGGGGGAUGAGGGGUGAGGGGUGCAGGUCGUAGGGUGGAGGAUGAGGGGUGAGGGGUGCAGGUCGUAGGGUGGAGGUUGUGGGGCGGGGGGUAAAGGGUGGAGGUCGUAGGGUGGAGGAUGAGGGGGACAGUACCUGCAUGCGCUCCAGCAGGCCGGUCAGUGCCUGCAGCCAGGUGAGGCUCUGGGCGUACUGCUCCGUGUUCACCACCCUGGUCUCCACCUCCAGCUCCGGCACGAU